GCCACAUGAUGACUUGAAUAGCGACAGCAGCUCACGGGCCAUGAUGACCUACUAUCUAUCACCCUUUUCUGAUGGCU